AGUGAACGCUGGCGGUAGGCCUAACACAUGCAAGUCGAACGGCAGCACAGUAAGAGCUUGCUCUUACGGGUGGCGAGUGGCGGACGGGUGAGGAAUACAUCGGAAUCUACUUUUUCGUGGGGGAUAACGUAGGGAAACUUACGCUAAUACCGCAUACGACCUACGGGUGAAAGCAGGGGACCUUCGGGCCUUACGCGAUUGAAUGAGCCGAUGUCGGAUUAGCUAGUUGGCGGGGUAAAGGCCCACCAAGGCGACGAUCCGUAGCUGGUCUGAGAGGAUGAUAAGCCACACUGGAACUGAGACACGGUCCAGACUCCUACGGGAGGCAGCAGUGGGGAAUAUUGGACAAUGGGCGCAAGCCUGAUCCAGCCAUACCGCGUGGGUGAAGAAGGCCUUCGGGUUGUAAAGCCCUUUUGUUGGGAAAGAAAUCCAGCCGGCUAAUACCUGGUUGGGAUGACGGUACCCAAAGAAUAAGCACCGGCUAACUUCGUGCCAGCAGCCGCGGUAAAAC
rnacentral:rRNA from 1 species